rnacentral:rRNA from 1 species
UGGGGAAUAUUGCACAAUGGAGGGAACUCUGAUGCAGCGACGCCGCGUGAACGAAGAAGGCUUUCGAGUCGUAAAGUUCUUUUAUAUGGGAAGAUAAUGACGGUACCAUAAGAAAAAGCCCCGGCUAACUACGUGCCAGCAGCCGCGGUAAUACGUAGGGGGCUAGCGUUGUCCGGAAUCACUGGGCGUAAAGGGUUCGCAGGCGGAAAUGCAAGUCAGGUGUAAAAGGCAGUAGCUUAACUACUGUAAGCAUUUGAAACUGCAUAUCUUGAGAAGAGUAGAGGUAAGUGGAAUUGUUAGUGUAGCGGUGAAAUGCGUAGAUAUUAAAAAGAAUACCGGUGGCGAAGGCGGCUUACUGGGCUCAUUCUGACGCUGAGGAACGAAAGCGUGGGUAGCAAACAGG